UUUAGCUCAGCGGCACCUCGCCUGCCUCACAAGCACCAGGUCCUAAGUUUGAUCUCCAGUACCAAAAAGGAAAAAAAAACAAACUUAAUUCAGAAACUCAGUGAAUAUGUAUAUUAUAUUAGUUCUAAGGAAUUGCAUGUGUAGUGCCCCAACUUGAAGCAACAUGAAAGAAGUUGGUAAUUGUCAAGUGGCUCUCUGCAGGACCUGGCUUAGGGACCUAAAUGAGCAAUUCAGGCAGGUGCUCAGCCCACAGGCCAGUGCCACACACUGACCCAAGUUGGUCAGAAAAAAAUACUCUUUGCUACAUGCUUCAUUCCAAAGGGGAAGUUUGCUAAGAAGUAGGUGUACCAUCCGAAGUAGUGAAAAAGUGAUUUGUGGGGCUUAGAGGAAUAAGUUUUUCUGUCUUGAAAAAUCAUGGUACCUUAUUCCUUAACUCUCCUGGACAAAUGAAGUGUCAGCAUGAAAAAAUAGUUUUCAAAAUAGUCUAUUUGGUGAGAGUUGCUAGAUUGUCAGUCUCUGUCACUUACCAAGUAAUGUCUGGUGAAACUUGAGCUGCUCUUAAUUUCAGGGUUAAAAUAAUCACUGCCUUGCAGGAUGUGUCUUGAGAUGAGAUCUGAACAGGAGAGCAGGUAGCAAGUGCCUACCUCACAUGUAACUACUCCAUGGUAGCAGUAUUACUGCUCCAAUUCCCAGGGCCCGCUAUGAUAAAAGCAUUCGUUUUGGUAAGAAUUUCAGACAAAAUGCUUUCAUCAAACAAGUAGGGGAUAGAGGCUCAGUGGUAGGGUGCUUACUUGGCGUGCCCAGGGCCCUGGGGUCAGUCCCCAGCAUUCCCCUCUAGAAUCUAAAAAAACUAAAACAACUGAUUUUGCCCUGUGGUGCAUUAACUGAUGGUUAACUUGGAACUUCCCAGCUGAACUUAAUCCCUGUGGUCUGGGCGUGGAAGACCCACCUGAGCAUUGUUGCCAAUGGCAUGAAAUGAGAACAGGAGGGGAAGAUUGUUGGCUGUUGAUUUUCUGGAAGCUUGCCACAGCUGGUUUUCCUGAUGUGAACUUGGCCGUUGUUGUUGAAGGAGCUUGGGGCCUCACUGUCUCUGGGAAGGGCUGCUGUUCUCAAGGGAGUCCUGAUCUUCGCCUUGAGCAUCAUUUCCUGGCCCCAAUGCAGAUCCCUCAGCCUGGUGGCACAAAUCCUUCACCCUGCAGGCGCAGGCUUUCUAGCUUCCACCACUGGCCCUUGGGCCUUCCCGGUGUAGAUCCUCCAUACGGACAAGCAUGAGACAUUGCUGUGGGCUCUAGGCCAUUGGCUGGAUUCGUGGAGGACAUUGCCUUGGACUCCAGGCCUUCAGCUGGACUUGUGCAGGACACUGCUGUGGGGUCCAGGCCCUUGGCUGGAUCUUUUGGAUCUCUGGUGUGUCGAUAGAUCUCUUGCACUCUGCAUUUGACUUUCUGGGUGAAUAUUAUAAAAUAAUCCUACAAAUUAUGUGUCCUGUAUUAAAUCUAUUCCCUUGCAAACCCUGACUACAACACAUCCUUGCCCUUGUGGUAUCCCUGACCUCUUCUCUCUCCUGGCUUUCUCCUCCUUGAUGGCACCUGUCCUCCAGUCAGUGUGGCUUGUACUCAAGUACUUCUCAUAGGGAAGACCAUUACCUAAACCUUGUGUCAGCAGAUUCUUCAGCUUUCCUACAAUAGCUUUAUAAGGUAGAGUCAUUCAGAAAACAUGGAGAAAGCAGAGCAACUUACAGAAACUAAAGAAUCAGCUGGUUAUUGUCUUCUCAUUUCUCCUGAGUGUCCAAACUAAACCUGCUGUCUGAAAAGAUCCCAGACUUCUUGAGGUGAGGUCUGUCCAGAGGGUUUGCUCAGUGGGGUAAGGCUGACUGCCUCGAGAUACUCAGUACCAGGAACAGCUCUGUGUUGAGUUUACCCCCUCCUUGCCAUCCUCUCCCCUCUCGAGAGCCAGGUAGCACCACUUCUUUCUGGAAGGGGAAGGUGGAACAGUUUGCACAGGCUGCAGAGGAAACGCACCAGAGAGCCCACAGCUGGCAAACGGUAAUGAGCCCUGCGCUAGUGCCUUCAGGUUCUUUUUCCGGCGCUGUGUCACCGAGUUCCGUGCCCAGCGAGGUCAGCCACAUCCUGAGGGAAGUGCAUGGUUUCUUUGUCUGGAAAGUGAGUGGUUGAACUGGGUGGUCUCUGAGGUCCCUCUGGGAAUUACACGUAUGACUCAAUGCCUACUGUCACUUCUACUCACAAGGCGAGUUAGUCCUGCCACCACUAUAAACCUGAGUCAGGCUGUGCAGGUCAGAAUGGGUCUUUUUUUCUUGUUAGUCAUCCCUCCUUAUCCUCAGAGGAUGCCCAAGUAUUUGCAUAUAACUGACACACAUCCUCCCGUAUACUUUGUUGUAUAAAUUAUUCAUAAUACCUAGUAGAAUGUAAAUGCUAUGUAAAUGAUUGUUACACUGUAUCAUUUAGGAAAUGAUAAGAAAAAGGAUUUUUCCAUUCAUCGCAAGGGAUUUUACUUAAUCCCUAGAAAGACCUUAGAAAAAAGUUAAUUUUAAUUUGCUGAAAUAUAUACCUACUUUACUUUCUUUCUCAGAUCUGACACCUCAGUGAUGAGUCUUGGCUUCUAGCUGGUCCAUUAUUAACCAGCAUGCGAUCCUAGCUUAUUCUCUUCAGUCUUUCCUCGAGGGAGAGAAUAAAGAUUCUAAAUUCUUUUCCUGAAUAUUUUUACUAUUAAGUCCCAAGUAUUUUCCCACAGCUUGUAGGAGGAUAUUAGCCUCUGCUGAGAUUUACCAUUCUGAUAAUAGUUCUCCCAGCAGGUACUUUUUGCAGCAAACUAAGCCUUCUAUGUUUAAGUACCACUGUUUAACCUUGCCGAGCACCUUGCAAUAGAAAGGUCAGCUCUCAGAGUAUGCUGUUUCUAAUUUAAGUGAAUGGACCCUGGAGUGAGAGCUAUAAUAAAGCCCAAUAAAAAUCUCCAGAAAACAAGACAUACAGUUGGAAUUUAACUAUGUACAUAGUUCCGUUGUUUUGAAAGUACAAUUAACUGGCACUGCAAAAUGGAACUUUAAAAGUUAGAUUUCUUUUGUUUUAGAGAAGCAACGUCUCCAAGUUUCCCCCUGCUGAGCACAUAUCCAAUACCCUCUCCUCUCCUCAGCCCCAAAGAAGUGAUGGAAUAUGUAGAUGCUGAUGAUGCAGGCCGGGAGCCUGGCACCUGUUUUCCUUUCACAGCAGAAAAAGCUGUUAGUGCUAGAUCAGAGAAAAACAGCCCUGGAAUUGGAGAAAAGCAUCCUCUUAUUUGUAGAUGAAGACAAGGCAUCAAGAGGCUGGGGCCAAAUUGCACAGCGGCUAUCUGAAGAAAAGCCAUUCAACCUCCAUCAUCAGCCAAGAGGGUUGAGACAGCUUGGUUGUGAAGAUCUGGGCAUUCCUGAAGUUUAGUGGAGCAGGCAAUAAAGG
ensembl:lncRNA